AUUUCGAAGACAACUAGGAUGUUGGCUCAGAAGCAGCCACUCAUUUAAAGAGUGCGUAACAGCUCACUAGUCGAGAGGUCUAGCGCCGAAAAUGUCCGGGGCUAAAACACACCACCGAAGCUACGGAAUUACCUAUGGUAAUUGGUAGAGGAGCAUUCUGUAAGGAUGAAGCACAAUUGAAAGAGAGUGUGGACGAAACAGAAGAGAGAAUGCCGGAAUGAGUAGCGAGAUAUAUGUGAGAAUCAUAUAGGUCGAAUGUCUAAGGUUUCCUGGGUAAAGCUGAUCUGCUCAGGGUAAGUCGGGACCUAAGGUGAGGGCGAGAGCCGUAAUCGAUGGACAACAGGUAGAAAUUCCUGUACUACGUAUAAUCAGAACUGUGGGGACGCAGGAGGAUAGGAAAACCGGAGAAUGGAAAAAUCCGGCUAAGUACAAAGGUGUGAGUGAUAGGCAAAUCCGUCACUAUUAGCUGAAGUACGAAUGGGAGCGAAGAAAAGUAGCGAAGUUUCUGAAUCCACACUGUCAAGAAAAGCCGCUAUUGCGUUAUACGUACCCGUACCGCAAACCGACACAGGUAGACGAGGAGAAAAUCCACAGACCGACGGGAGAAGUGUUGUUAAGGAACUCGGCAAAAUGACCCCGUAACUUAGGGAUAAGGGGAGCCAACGCAAGUUGGUCACAGAAAAGAGGCUCAAGCGACUGUUUAGCAAAAACAUAGGUCUAUGCGAAACCGUAAGGUGAUGUAUAUGGGCUGACACCUGCCCGGUGCUGGAAGGUCAAAAGGAGAGGUUAGCGCAAGCGAAGCUUUGAAUUCAAGCCCCAGUAAACGGCGGCCGUAACUAUAACGGUCCUAAGGUAGCGAAAUUCCUUGUCAGGUAAGUUCUGACCCGCACGAAAGGUGUAACGAUUUGAGCACUGUCUCGACAACACGCCCGGUGAAAUUGAAGAACCAGUGAAGAUACUGGUUACCCGCAACAGGACGGAAAGACCCCAUGGAGCUUUACUGCAGCUUAAUAUUGGGAUUCGGUAUUGUAUGUACAGGAUAGGAGGGAGACUAAGAAGCUAGCACGCCAGUGUUGGUGGAGUCGAUGGUGGGAUACCUCUCUUAUAAUACUGAAUUUCUAACCUACUUCCGUGAUCCGGAAGAGGGACAUUGUUAGGCGGGCAGUUUGACUGGGGCGGUCGCCUCCGAAAGAGUAACGGAGGCGCUCAAAGGUCUUCUCAGAAUGAUUGGAAACCAUUCAAAGAGUGUAAAGGCAAAAGAAGGCUUGACUGCGAGAGUGACAACUCGAGCAGGUACGAAAGUAGGACUUAGUGAUCCGGUGGUAACAAGUGGGAGUGCCAUCGCUUAACGGAUAAAAGCUACCCUGGGGAUAACAGGCUUAUCUCCCCCAAGAGUUCACAUCGACGGGGAGGUUUGGCACCUCGAUGUCGGCUCAUCGCAUCCUGGGGCUGUAGUAGGUCCCAAGGGUUGGGCUGUUCGCCCAUUAAAGCGGUACGCGAGCUGGGUUCAGAACGUCGUGAGACAGUUCGGUCCCUAUCCGUUGUGGGCGUAGGAAAUUUGAUAGGAGCUGUCCUUAGUACGAGAGGACCGGGAUGGACGAACCUCUGGUGAAUCUGUUGGUAACCAAUGCCACAGCAGAAUAGCCAAGUUUGGAACGGAUAAACGCUGAAGGCAUCUAAGCGUGAAGCCAACCUAAAGACUAGAUUUCCCAUGCGAAAGCAGUAAGACUCCUUGUAGACGACAAGGUUGAUAGGCCAGAGAUGUAAGCACAGUAAUGUGUUCAGUUGACUGGUACUAAUAAGUCGAGGGCUUGACCA
rnacentral:rRNA from 1 species